CCAUAGGCUUUUUUUAAAGCUACAUAAUUAAAAGAUCAUUUUCAA
rfam:Anas platyrhynchos breed Pekin duck contig470, whole genome shotgun sequence.